rnacentral:rRNA from 1 species
AGUGAACACUGGCGGUAGGCCUAACACAUGCAAGUCGAACGGCAGCACAGUAAGAGCUUGCUCUUACGGGUGGCGAGUGGCGGACGGGUGAGGAAUACAUCGGAAUCUACUUUUUCGUGGGGGAUAACGUAGGGAAACUUACGCUAAUACCGCAUACGACCUACGGGUGAAAGCAGGGGAUCUUCGGACCUUGCGCGAUUGAAUGAGCCGAUGUCGGAUUAGCUAGUUGGCGGGGUAAAGGCCCACCAAGGCGACGAUCCGUAGCUGGUCUGAGAGGAUGAUCAGCCACACUGGAACUGAGACACGGUCCAGACUCCUACGGGAGGCAGCAGUGGGGAAUAUUGGACAAUGGGGGCAAGCCUGAUCCAGCCAUACCGCGUGGGUGAAGAAGGCCUUCGGGUUGUAAAGCCCUUUUGUUGGGAAAGAAAAGCAGCAGGUUAAUACCCCGCUGUUCUGACGGUACCCAAAGAAUAAGCACCGGCUAACUUCGUG